AAGGCGAGUGAAUGAAACAAAAGAAAAAAGAAAAGGCAGCCCACUUUCCCCUUCCCCCGACGAUUCGUUUCGAUUUCAUCCCGCCGCCGCCGCAACCACCCUCUCCCCCGGCACGGCGGUGAUCUUCUCUCCCACGGCCGACCGCCUCUCUCCUCUAUCUCCCGCCGACGGUUGUAUGACGGAUCCUUGGCGACGGCGGCACCAUGGAUGCGGCGGCGAACCCUAGCCGCAGCGGCUUGCCGGCGCCUCUGCUCUUCUCUUCUCCUAGAGCAACCCCCUCGUCGCACUACGACGCGCCCCCUGCCACUCCUCUUGUAUGCGAAACCCGACGGCCAUGCCAUCCUUCCUUCGCCUCCACCUCCACCUCCCCGACCGCGUGCUCCUUCGCCGCCCAGCGACGGCGGCCGAUUUACGACGGAUCUAUCUGGCGCGACGGUAGCGCCAGCCAACCCAUGGAGGCGGCGCCUGCCGUGCCUCUGCUGCUCUCCCCGAGCUCCCUCCUCAUCUUACGACGACGCCUCCGCACCCCCUCCACCUCGACUCGGGCUUUGUUGAUUGAUGACUGGGCUGAAGGGGAUACUUAACAAAGGUUCAGCAAUGCCUCAGGGGGGAGAUAGUCGUCGGAGGUCCCAAUGUAAAAAAAGACCGUUCCAAGAAUGAAGCUAAAACAAAUGAGGUCUAUCAGGAUGAUGAAAGAGGUCUACGAUGGUUGUAUUCGGGUGGCAUAGGGCGUUUUCCAUCCACAUUGCUGCCUUGAAUUCAUUGACCGCAAGAAAGAUAUCGUGAAGCUUCAACGUGGUGAACACACAUCUGCCAAAACAUAUGUGAAUUCUUGAUCUGUGAUGUCUCGUGAUGCACAAUAUUUGUGCUUCUUGUGAUUGUCUUAUAAUAAGUAGUGUCUUCGUUUUAGUGGAUGUAGUCAUAAGUUGCUAAUUUUGGCUAUGGUUUUACCUACCAGUGUCUGUCACCGUUUUUAGUACCUCAAAUACUAAAAAGAAAAGAAUUUGUUCCACAAACAGCAAUGGCUGCUCUAUUUACUUUGAAUUGCAAUAUCAAUCAAUAGCACCCGUUUUUGAACGCAGAUUUCUAAAGUUGUCCGGGACCCUGCCAGGAUAGAGAGGUCGUCAUCGCCAUCACGUCCAUGCUGUGUCAACCCCACUGCCCCCUUUAUUUUGUCUGUGCCUGUGCAUCUAUAUCCCUGCUGCCCUUAUAUUUUCUAUCUCAAUUACUCCCUCCAUUCCAAAAUAGAUGACUCAACUUUAUACUAAAGUUAGUACAAAGUUGAGUCAUCUAUUUUGGAACGGAGGGAGUAGCUUUUUUAAACCGCUAGAUUGACCUCAGUGUAAUAGUUGAUCGGUAAUAAGACCUUAUGACUUGGUACCCAAUGCAUGUGUGUAGUUUUUUUUGACUUCUUCUCUCUCUCCUAACCUCCACUUAUUGAUUUCAGAUUAAUACAUCAAAACAUUUUUUGCAAGAUAAUCACAUAGUUUUUUUUUGCAAAAUAAUGCAUGCUCACUGGUUAGAGAUAACAUUUUUGCCAGAAGCAAGAAUGUUAUAGCUUGCAUGUAGCUUGAUAUUCUUUUUAUGCAAUAGCACAUUCAUGUAUCAGUGCAUAAACAGCAAGAUUACACACUGAUGCAAUUUCCUUUUCUUGUUUUGAUUGAUAGAAUGAGCAUGGAAAAUUUCAAUUUUCCGCACAAAUUCCUAUCCACAUUCGAUGGAUUAGGAGAUGAUGCCAACACAAUUGGUGUUGCAAGGGAAGAAGCAGCUGCAAUAAUCAAUGUGUUCGCGAAAUCAUCUCUUUGUCAUGUAAUUUUUUCUGCCAGUUUACAACUCUGGUGACCGCCUCUCGCUCGACUCGGGCAUCGGAUGACAAAUGAGGUCUACGAUGGUUGUAUUCUGGUGGCAUAGGGCGUUUCCAUCCAGAUGGCUGCCUCAAAUUUAUUGACCGCAAGAAAGAUAUUGUCAAGCCUCAACAUGAAUGAGCAUGGACUUCUAUUUUCUGAACAAAUCCCUAUCCACAUUCGAUGGACUAGAAGAUGAUGCCGACACAGUUGGUUUUGCAAGGGAAUAAGCAGCUGCAAUCAUGAAUGUGUGUUCAUCAAGUCGUCUCUUUGUCAGUGCUGCUGCAGGCUAAAGUUGCUAAUAGAAACAACACAAUCUCAGCUAGAAGUUAGCUGAAGAUGCAGGAUUUGUGAUGCUAGGAUUGAUGAUCCGCUGAUUAGAGGGUUGUCCCUAACUUCCCGUGAGUGUUGUUGCUGGGCGUAUUUUGGACAACAUUUACAGCACUAGUUUGGUCGACGAAGAAGAACUUUUCGACGAAGAAGCUCUGGCUGCUCCAGUGCUCACUCCGACGCCUCUUUCCUGUCCCUCUGGUGGCCGCUUCCUUGUUGGUUCUAGAAGAGUGAAGCGGUUCUUCAAUGUUGGAAUCCCUGUUUGGUGUGGUGGUGACCGAGCGGUCAUCGAUGUGCCCCUCCUCCCUACCGACGGGAUGACGGUGGUUGUGUUGUAAACUUUUAACCUCCUUGUCCGGCUACCACAGCUCGGAGGACUGUCUCGGCUUCUUGUUUUUGUGAGCGGCUCUACCUGGUUUUAAUGUUGGAAUCCCUGCACGCCCCAACAUGCGUCGCCGAUCUGUAAACGCCUCUACCUAGAUUGGUUGGGUGGUGACCAAACAGUGAGGUGGUGGAAAGCAUCGUAACCUCUAUGUCAGGCUACUAUGGCUUGGCAGGGUACCUCCUCGUCCACUACCUCGGCUUCCCACAGCAUGAUCACAAUGUUUUGGCUGCAACCGUGGCGGUGGUUGCUGCCUCUUUCUGUUCUGAUCAUGGUCAAACCUCAUACAAAACCAAGGCAGAAAGCGUCCCAACAAAGUGUUUCGAAAUGGCAAGAUCUGGAUAGGCGAUCUCUGGUUUCUGUGUGAUUUAGCCUGUACAACACAGAGUAGUCUGCUGAGAACAAGCACCUUCUUAAAAGCACAUGUCUUUGAUGACAGCAACUUCUCCGCGAGUGAUUUAGUUUUCUCAACACACGAAGGGUAUUUAAUAUUACGAGGGGUAGCAUCAGUACGCCUUCCUGUAUCAUCAAUAUCAGUGAGGAUAUAUUUGCAGGUCAUGUUCAAACUUUGUGCAAAACCAAGGCAGAAAGCGUCCCAACAUAGUGUGGCAAUAUGGCAGGAUUGGGAGAGGUGAUUCCUCGUUUCUGUGCGAUUUAGUUUGCUCAACACACAGAGCAGUCUGCUGGGAACAAGCGUCUUCUUAAAAGCACAUGUGUCUGCUGACACCAACUUCCCCAUCUGUGAGCAGAGGUCGCGUCCCUGAGAAGGAUUUGGUUGUUAUAGGUCACCGAGGGAACUUGACACGUUCAAGGGCCACCUAGAGAUGGUCGUCAAGCUGAAGUGGCUCUCGUCGGCACUGACUUGGUGUUUGUUGUCGUGGUCUCCGGCGGCGGUUGUUGGGUGGCUGCCAUGGCGAGCAAUGCAUGCACGGUCGAAGGCUCAGCUUAGCGGCCGUUCUGUAUGACCGUGGCUAUAGUCGAUUUGGUUAUUCGAUUGGAGGUGACUCCUGGAGGGAGGUUAGUUAUUGAGAUUGAUAAUCCAAAAGUGGCAAGAGGGCAGGAGAGGAAGAGAUGGCCUAGAUUUGGAGGCACUAGAUAAAUGGAUGGACGAGUUAUUUGUUGGCUGCGGAAUUAGUGUUGGAGGCUGAUGCCCUUUUUUAUUUGUGUAUGUUUUCUCGAGCUAGCUCAAAUAGCGACACUCGAGAUUGAUAUGCUAGAUAGAAUCUACUUUCUUGUCCUGGUGGCUGUUUGAGCUAGUUAUGUACGUAUAUCUGGUGUACGAAGAAUGCAUGU